UACGGAAGGUCCGGGCGUUAUUCGGAUUUAUUGGGUUUAAAGGGAGCGUAGGCCGUCUUAUAAGCGUGUUGUGAAAUGUCGGGGCUCAACCUGGGCAUUGCAGCGCGAACUGUGAGACUUGAGUGCGCAGGAAGUAGGCGGAAUUCGUCGUGUAGCGGUGAAAUGCUUAGAUAUGACGAAGAACUCCGAUUGCGAAGGCAGCCUGCUGUAGCGCAACUGACGCUGAAGCUCGAAAGCGUGGGUAUCGAACAGG
rnacentral:rRNA from 1 species